UGAAGAUACGUACAAUAGAUGCCGUAAACCACACCAUCGCUCUUGCUGCUAAGGAUCGCCAUGGCAUGCGGCCUGGUGUCUACAACCACGGCAACUUGACUGGAAUCACCUCACAGGGCGGCUACUUCCGGGUGAUAAACAUGCUCUCGGAAAUUGACGAGCCCGGGGAGUACUACCUCGACAGAAGAACGGGGAUUCUGUACGCGUGGCCCAAU